UCCAGACUCCUACGGGAGGCAGCAGUGGGGGAUAUUGCACAAUGGGGGGAACCCUGAUGCAGCGACGCCGCGUGGGUGAAGGAGCGUUUCGGCGCGUAAAGCCCUAUCGGCAGGGAAGAAGGAGGACGGUACCUGACUAAGAAGCCCCGGCUAACUACGUGCCAGCAGCCGCGGUAAUACGUAGGGGGCAAGCGUUAUCCGGAUUUACUGGGUGUAAAGGAAGCGUAGACGGCAUGGCAAGUCAGAUGUGAAAGCCCGGGGCUCAACCCCGGGACUGCAUUUGAAACUGUCAGGCUGGAGUGCAGGAGAGGUAAGUGGAAUUCCUAGUGUAGCGGUGAAAUGCGUAGAUAUUAGGAGGAACACCAGUGGCGAAGGCGGCUUACUGGACUGUAACUGACGUUGAGGCUCGAAAGCGUGGGGAGCAAACAGGAUUAGAUACCCGUGUAC
rnacentral:rRNA from 1 species